rnacentral:rRNA from 1 species
AGUGAACGCUGGCGGUAGGCCUAACACAUGCAAGUCGAACGGCAGCACAGUAAGAGCUUGCUCUUACGGGUGGCGAGUGGCGGACGGGUGAGGAAUACAUCGGAAUCUACUUUUUCGUGGGGGAUAACGUAGGGAAACUUACGCUAAUACCGCAUACGACCUACGGGUGAAAGCAGGGGAUCUUCGGACCUUGCGCGAUUGAAUUAGCCGAUGUCGGAUUAGCUAGUUGGCGGGGUAAAGGCCCACCAAGGCGACGAUCCGUAGCUGGUCUGAGAGGAUGAUCAGCCACACUGGAACGGAGACACGGUCCAGACUCCUACGGGAGGCAGCAGUGGGGAAUAUUGGACAAUGGGCGCAAGCCUGAUCCAGCCAUACCGCGUGGGUGAAGAAGGCCUUCGGGUUGUAAAGCCCUUUUGUUGGGAAAGAAAAGCAGCAGGUUAAUACCCCGCUGUUCCGACGGUACCCAAAGAAUAAGCACCGGCUAACUUCGUG